AAUUGGCAGCAAUUUGUAUUUAUAAUCAAAUCUAUAUCAAGGUUUAGAACCAUCUGUGAGAUAUAACGCGAUUGGUCUUACUUUGAAUUAAACACAUAUGACUCGAAAAACUUUUAUAUAUAAUUUACACAUUAAUUUUGUGCGCAGUAGUCUAUUUCUAGAUUCUAUAGACAGUUCUAAGCAUGAAAUCAGAGAUUACUUGCGCUCUCGCGUUCAUAUAUUUGACGCAGUUUCGUGUGAGCUGUCGAGGAAAGUACAGUGUAAAGCGCGACGUGCAGGCGAGUUACAAAUUCUCAUAAACAUUAUAAUACGUCAUGAAAAACCAUAAGAUAUCAUACAAUGAGGACUACGAAGGACUUUGAUAGGACGAAUUAGAACCAGACGAAUUAAAAUCGAUGAGCAGAUGAAAGCAUUCUAUAACGUUAGGUCAAAGAUCUUCAUCAAACUAUUGUCGAAUUGACGACUUUGUCACAUUAUUUAACUCCGAUUGCAAUUAUCUUCAGAGAUGGACUAUUUAAAAUAAUGAAAAUGUAACUCAAGUAAUCUAUCUAGUGUUUCAACGCUUUCAUUUUUAUAUGCGAUUGAGAACGCGCACGUGCACACGAUUAUAUUGCCUUGCAAAUGCCAGUCAUCUUAGUCAGUGGUUUCGGAUAAAGCGUCGCUGAUUGUAUUACAAUCAUUCUUGUCUUUCCUAUUUGCGGCCAGAUGUCUGUUCCCGCUUUGUGCAUUAACAAUACAUCGACACCGAACUCUGCAAUUGCAGAAUAAAAAAAAUGCAGGAUGCAUUAAGCGCAACAUUUUUUAAGGACUUACUCGAAUCCAUGGUUAUCAAAUUUUAGGAUCCGGCAUACUCAGAACAUAUUAUUUCAAACGUCAACGAAUUUGGAUCGAAAUAGUAUAAUUAAAAAAUGCGUAUAGAAAACAAUUGAAACUAAUUGAAACAAUCGAGAAUAAGACACGAUGUUAGUUUCCACGAAGGGACAAGACAAUCGACUGCCCCACGCUCUACGAUAAGCCGUAAUUGCAGCCGCGUGAAGGUUGCUACGUACUACAGUUUAUACAAACUAUUGCUUCAGUAAAUAUACGUCUGGACGAAUCGCAUCGAACAUGUGAUCAUCACGUUGCGUCAUAAAGACAAGUCGUUCAUUGGUCGUUCUUCUCAACAAUCUUUCAUUUCUAUAAUAUGUAUAUAAAGGCGCUUUCGCGUGAAGCAAGAGGUUGUGUAUUAUUCCAGAAAAGAAUGACGUCAUUUAUUGUCUCUUUUUAAUGCAAGAGUGAUAUACAACGUAUUGCCUGUUCAAAAAAGUUUUUAAAGACACU